rnacentral:tRNA from 1 species
AGUAGCGCAAUGGAUAGCUUGUUGGACUUCUAAUUCAAAGGUCGUGGGUUCGAAUCUCACCAGAAAUG